UACGUAGGUGGCAAGCGUUGUCCGGAAUUAUUGGGCGUAAGCGCGCGCAGGCGGUCCUUUAAGUCUGAUGUGAAAGCCCACGGCUCAACCGUGGAGGGUCAUUGGAAACUGGGGGACUUGAGUGCAGAAGAGGAAAGCGGAAUUCCACGUGUAGCGGAUGAAAUGCGUAGAGAUGUGGAGGAACACCAGUGGCGAAGGCGGCUUUCUGGUCUGUAACUGACGCUGAGGCGCGAAAGCGUGGGGAGCAAACAGG
rnacentral:rRNA from 1 species